rnacentral:rRNA from 1 species
CCUACGGGCGGCUGCAGUGGGGAAUAUUGGACAAUGGGCGAAAGCCUGAUCCAGCCAUGCCGCGUGUGUGAAGAAGGCCUUCGGGUUGUAAAGCACUUUCAGUGGGGAAGAAAGCCUUGGGGCUAAUACCCUCGAGGAAGGACAUCACCCACAGAAGAAGCACCGGCUAACUCCGUGCCAGCAGCCGCGGUAAUACGGAGGGUGCGAGCGUUAAUCGGAAUUACUGGGCGUAAAGCGCGCGUAGGCGGUCUGAUAAGCCGGUUGUGAAAGCCCCGGGCUCAACCUGGGAACGGCAUCCGGAACGGUCAGGCUAGAGUGCAGGAGAGGAAGGUAGAAUUCCCGGUGUAGCGGUGAAAUGCGUAGAGAUCGGGAGGAAUACCAGUGGCGAAGGCGGCCUUCUGGACUGACACUGACGCUGAGGUGCGAAAGCGUGGGUAGCAAACAGGAUUAGAUACCCUAGUAGUC